rnacentral:rRNA from 1 species
UACGUAGGGGGCAAGCGUUAUCCGGAUUUACUGGGUGUAAAGGGAGUGUAGGUGGCAUGGCAAGUCAGAAGUGAAAGCCCGGGGCUCAACCCCGGGACUGCUUUUGAAACUGCCAGGCUGGAGUGCAGGAGAGGUAAGUGGAAUUCCUAGUGUAGCGGUGAAAUGCGUAGAUAUUAGGAGGAACACCAGUGGCGAAGGCGGCUUACUGGACUGUAACUGACACUGAGGCUCGAAAGCGUGGGGAG